rnacentral:rRNA from 1 species
AAUCUACCUGGUAGUGGGGGACAACUCGGGGAAACUCGAGCUAAUACCGCAUACGCCCUGAGGGGGAAAGCGGGGGAUCUUCGGACCUCGUGCUAUCAGAUGAGCCUGCGUUGGAUUAGCUAGUUGGUGGGGUAAAGGCCUACCAAGGCGACGAUCCAUAGCUGGUCUGAGAGGAUGAUCAGCCACACCGGGACUGAGACACGGCCCGGACUCCUACGGGAGGCAGCAGUGGGGAAUAUUGCGCAAUGGGCGGAAGCCUGACGCAGCCAUGCCGCGUGUGUGAAGAAGGCCUUCGGGUUGUA